CUCCUCUCGGCCGCGGACCCCCCUCCUCCCGGGGCCGCGCGCCGCUGACCCUCGAGCGGCAUGAGGCUGCCCCGCACGACGUGCUGGCUGCUGCUCUGGCUGCCGCCUCUGGCCGCGCAGCCCGCGGGCGCCGAGCGCGGGGAGGAGGAGGCGGCGGCCGUCUCAGUUUCUAGGUGUAAAGCUUUGAAGGAGAUGGAUUUAAUUGAAGCUUCUCUGUCAGACUGUUACUGCUACAAUCAAAAUUCCCAAGUGGAAUGGAAGUAUAUAUGGUCAACUGUGCAGGUGAAAAUUACCAGUCCAGGCCCGUUCAGUGUUGUAUAUAUCACAGAAAGGUAUAAUUGCCAGUAUCCAGAAACCAUCCUCUCCAUCAUCAGAUGUAUGAUUCAUAACUUUUGGACACCAGAGGAGUCUAAUGAUACAACCAUAAUCAUCCAUCCAUACGGACAGACUGUCUGUUUCUCUGUGAAGCCAGCCAGGAAGAUAUUUAUGUAUACAAUAAGUGUGAAACAAAACAUUGUGGAUUUCAAGCUCGUCUUUGUGUUUGUGGUGGGCAUCUUCCUCUUCUUUUACGCAGAGACCUUGAGUCAAAGCCCCAUUUUCUUUUACUCUUCGGGGACUGUGCUAGGUGUUCUAAUGACAUUAGUCUUUGUCCUGUUGCUGGUGAAGAAGUUCAUUCCUAAGUAUAGCACCUUUUGGGCUCUAAUGCUUGGUUGUUGGUUUGCUUCAGUGUAUAUUCUGGGGCAACUGAUGGAAGAGCUGAAGAGACUGUGGUAUGAAAGCAGAAUGUGUGUAUUAGGCUACGUCCUGACAGUUGGCUGCGUCAGCUUUGCUGUUUGCUACAAGCACGGGCCCCUGGUGGAGGAGAGGGACAUGGUGCUCCUGGCAUGGCUGCUGCGGCUGCUGUCCCUGCUCCUGGUGUACAUGGGGGUGUCCGCGCCCCAGUUCGCCUGCACGGCUGCCCUGCUCCUCGUCCUGGCGUCCGGGAGUCGGUGCUGUCUGCCGAGCGCGCUCGCCUGUGUCGGGAGGAAAAUGAAGAAAUGGUUCACAUCAGAGAAGCUGGCGGUGAAGCUUCUUACUGAAGACCAGUACAGGGAGCAAGCUGAUGCCGCCACAAUCUGCGCCCUGGAGGAGCUCCGCCAGGCCUGCCGCAGCCCCGGCUUCCCAUCCUGGCUGGCGGUCUCCAGGCUCCAGGAGCCGAAAAAGUUUGCGGACUUUGUUCUGGGAGGAAGCCACUUGUCGCCCGAAGAAGUGAGGCUCCAUGAGGAACAAUAUGGCCUUGGGGGCGCCUUCUUGGAAGAGCAGCUCUUUAACCUGAGGACUCCUGACAGUCUGCCUGCACAGUGACUUCAUCCUGGACAAGGAAGUGGGCAUGCGCAGGGAUGCAGAGCUGUUCCAAGGAGCAGUGGCCAAAGCAUUCGCCACAGAGAAACAUCAAACCAUACUGGAAAGGAAAUCUAAACUUUAUUGAAGAUAACUGAUCCUUCUUGGUCAGUUCUGUGUAUUGUCCUGUAGGUGGCCACUGAGAUCGUGUGACGGUCAUGAUCGCUUUGCUUGAAUGAAGACUCUCGUUAGGAACAAGGGAAUCGUGUUGAUCUUCAAAGGUCCAAGUAAUGUGAAUAAGUUCCUUGUCAACUCCAAGGCACUAAGGUGUCUCUUAAACCCCAUAACCUGCAACAAAAUAGUGCGUUGCUCUUCCUGUGUGUUACCAAUGUAAGGGCUG
rnacentral:lncRNA from 1 species